GACCCCUUAUAGACGAUGAGGUAGAUAGGUCCGGGGUGGAAGUGCCGCAAGGCAUGGAGCUGACGGAUACUAAUCGGUCGAGGGCUUAUCCAAA
rnacentral:rRNA from 1 species